GAUCAAGAAUCACCAAAUCUGAAAUUAAGUUGGAGGAAAGCCAAGCAAAUCGAUUAAAUCGACUAGUCGCCACAUUUUGUAAUCCAAGGUACCUAUAUGGUAUGUAUGAAAUGGGAGCUCAAUAAAUGUUAUAUGAGGUGAAAUGAAUAUUGAUGAUGAAGCCUAUCUAGCUCGAGGAUCAACGAAAGUCAGAGAUAUUGAUCACACUUUCAAUCGAAGCUUUCGGUAUAGUUUGAUUUAUAUUUUUGAAUAUGACAUGUAUAGGGCUUAGACUUUGUUAUUUUUGUGUCAUUGAAAACUGGCCAAAUGUGUUGGCUUGGGUUGGGAACCCUUCAUAUUUAUUUUUAUUUAUAUACAAAGAUGUUAUUUCAAGAUGAGUAAAAUGUACAAAUGGAAUUUUGUUUA